rnacentral:rRNA from 1 species
GUGCCAGCCGCCGCGGUAAUACGGAGGGUGCGAGCGUUGUUCGGAAUCACUGGGCGUAAAGCGCGUGUAGGCGGCCCAUUAAGUCUGAUGUGAAAGCCCGGGGCUCACCCCCGGAAGUGCAUUGGAAACUGAUGGACUCGAGUCCCGGAGAGGAGAGUGGAAUUCCUGGUGUAGCGGUGAAAUGCGUAGAUAUCAGGAGGAACACCGGUGGCGAAGGCGGCUCUCUGGACGGUGACUGACGCUGAGACGCGAAAGCGUGGGGAGCAAACAGGAUUAGAUACCCUGGUAGUCCACGCCGUAAACGAUGAGCACUAGGUGUCGCGGGUAUUGACCCCUGCGGUGCCGACGCUAACGCAUUAAGUGCUCCGCCUGGGGAAUACGGCCGCAAGGUUAAA